UCGAUUUGGAGUUUGUUGCCCUGAGUGAUGGGCUCCGAAGCUAACGCGAUAAAUCGACCGCCUGGGGAGUACGGCCGCAAGGUUAAAACUCAAAUGAAUUGACGGGGGCCCGCACAAGCGGUGGAGCAUGUGGUUUAAUUCGAUGCAACGCGAAGAACCUUACCUGGUCUUGACAUCCACAGAAUCUUGCAGAGAUGCGAGAGUGCCUUCGGGAACUGUGAGACAGGUGCUGCAUGGCUGUCGUCAGCUCGUGUUGUGAAAUGUUGGGUUAAGUCCCGCAACGAGCGCAACCCUUAUCCUUUGUUGCCAUCGGUUCGGCCGGGAACUCAAAGGAGACUGCCGUUGAUAAAGCGGAGGAAGGUGGGGACGACGUCAAGUCAUCAUGGCCCUUACGACCAGGGCUACACACGUGCUACAAUGGCGUAUACAAAGGGAGGCGACCUCGCGAGAGCAAGCGGACCUCAUAAAGUACGUCUAAGUCCGGAUUGGAGUCUGCAACUCGACUCCAUGAAGUCGGAAUCGCUAGUAAUCGUGAAUCAGAAUGUCACGGUGAAUACGUUCCCGGGCCU
rnacentral:rRNA from 1 species